rnacentral:rRNA from 1 species
CUACGUAGGGGGCGAGCGUUGUCCGGAAUGAUUGGGCGUAAAGGGCGCGUAGGCGGCGCGGUAAGUCUGGAGUGAAAGUCCUGCUUUCAAGCGGGGAAUUGCUUUGGAUACUGCCUCGCUUGAGUGCAGGAGAGGUGAUCGGAAUUCCCGGUGUAGCGGUGAAAUGCGUAGAGAUCGGGAGGAACACCAGUGGCGAAGGCGGGUAACUGGACUGCAACUGACGCUGAGGCGCGAAAGUGUGGGGAGCAAACAGGAUUAGAUACCCUGGUAGUCCACACUGUAAACGAUGAAUGCUAGGUGUAAGAGGUAUCGACCCCUUUUGUGCCGGAGUCAACACAAUAAGCACUCCGCCUGGGGAGUACGGCCGCAAGGUUGAAACUUAAAGGAAUUGACGGGG